GUCUUAGUCAGCUGCUGGAGUGCUGCUCAGAUGUGGCCGGCGGCGGCCCCGGGAGUGCUGUGACCCGCGCGUCAUGGCCCCCGCUGUGGUCCAGUCGUUAGUAGUGCGUUAACGUAACCAGCUGCUGGAGUGCUGCCCAGAGGUGGCCGGCGGCGGCCCCGGGAGUGCUGUGACCCGCGCGUCAUGGCCCCCGCUGCGGUCUUUUCGUGAUUCAUGUCUUACCUUAUGAGUUUUACUGGGACUCUGUCGUGGUGAGUGCCGACUCGACGGCCAUAAAAGUGGCAGUAGAUCUCGUACUGUGGAUUGGGGCUACUACCUUAAGGUAGUUUUUUACCUUAAGGUUAAUUAACCUUUUGACUAAACAUAAAGAAUAUAUAAGUAACUUUAAGGUGUCAGCUAGCUUUUACUCUCGAUGAGUACAGAGAACCAAACGCAUACCAGAUAACAAAUUCUUUGGCGCUGGGGGACCGAGUGAGUGGCUGUGUGGCUGUCGCGUCAGGCCCCUACCCCUACCCUGCCUAACAAUACUAUUGGCUCCCCGUCCCACCGUCCCUGCACAACAAUACUAGCCCACCGGCGCCGGCCGCUCUGCCCGCGCCUUAUCUCCCCCUCAAUCAACGCCGCUUGUACGUUGAAUUACAAAAUUGCAAAUAACAAGCAACCAUAAACAAAUGACAGCUAAAUAUGAGAGAAAAUUGGAAACGUACCUAUUCUUAAACUUGUAUCAUCUGCUUUCAAGAUAGAUUCUUGAUUUAGAUUUUUAAUGGACUACAGUGAGUUCUUUAUUUUGGACAUGUUUUGGGCCCCGCGACGGGACACACUCAAGAGGAGCCCAGGUAGUGACCAGGGACCCUACCGGGGCGGGGGGCGCGGGCGACGGGCAGGGGGUAGUAGUCUACUUUCCUCCAAAGUGGAGCACCCGCCCCUUAUCUGCUACAGAUGACUUACAUUGUUUCCUCUCUGUUUCAAGUGCGGUGCUUCCGAGUCCAGAAAGAACAAAUCUGUGGCGGUUACGAUCCGCCGAAAAUACGGACUUCUCAUCACAUUUGUACCUACGGCUGCCAUGUUGAAAAUACAUCUAUUGGCUAUUUGAAA